rnacentral:misc_RNA from 1 species
GACGGAGGGUCCUAGCGUUGUUCGGAAUGACUGGGCGUAAAGGGUACGUAGGCGGUUUGGUCAGUUAGAUGUGAAAGCCCAGGGCUUAACCUUGGAAUUGCAUUUAAUACUGCCAGACUUGAGAUCGGAAGAGGAAAGCGGAAUUCCUAGUGUAGAGGUGAAAUUCGUAGAUAUUAGGAGGAACAUCAGAGGCGAAGGCGGCUUUCUGGUCCGAUACUGACGCUGAGGUACGAAAGCGUGGGGAGCAAACAGG